rnacentral:rRNA from 1 species
UAGCGGAGGAAAAGAAACUAACAGGGAUUCCCCGAGUAAGGGCGACUGAAACGGGACCAGCCCAGCGCAUAAGCUCGUGGCGCGAGUCACGAGCGGGUGUUGCGUUCCGGAGGAUUGGUCCUUUCGUACCUACGACCGGCCACUUAAGUCAACGAUGGAAAGCGGUUCCACGGAGGGUGAUAGGCCCGUGUAGUGUGCAAUGCUUUCCCUUGGGAUGGUUUGGAGUCUAGGUACAUGGCCCCCUCCGUAGAGUCGGGUUGCUUGAUAGUGCAGCCCAAAGCAGGUGGUAAACUCCUUCUAA